rnacentral:ribozyme from 1 species
UAUUUAUUUAUAUCAUUCUUCUUCUUCUUCUACUUUUUCUUCUUCUUUUGAGACAUUUUCCUUUUAAGUCCGACCCAAAAAAUGCGUUUCAACAAAAAGAACAGAAACAAAAAUCUGGG